rnacentral:lncRNA from 1 species
AGAUACAUUCCUGAGCAUGCUCAGUUCCAGGUCAUGCUUCUUUAUACAUGGCAUGUUCAAAAAUGGCAGACAGGAAGGUCUCCUAGGUGGAAAAUUUAGCAUUAUAAUGGGCAAAGUUUGCUUUAGGUCACGGAGAAGAGGGGCUGUGUUACUUUAGGUGAUUUUUAUCAAUUCCUGUCUUCUCUAGUGGGCCUUAUCUGAAAUACAACUUUAAAAAUUAGCAGUCAUUUAAAGGGGCAGCAACUCUUGCCCUUAAGGAGCUUGCCCCUAGAAGUACUUGCCUCAGCUACCAUCUUCAUUUUUGUAAUCAUAGAUAAUUGUUCAGAAUUUUAGAAAUAAACAGUGGGUCAUUCAGUAUUAUGUUUUCCUUGAGCUGGUAAUAUGUCUUGUACUGAGAGCUGAUCUAUGUAUGGGUUACAGCCCGGUUCUCAAGUACUUUAUAAACUGGUUGAAUCACCAAUAAGAUCCUAGCUGACAAAACACAGUGAAAUAGACCAAGUUCAGAAAUCUGGGAAUCUGAUUCUCAUUUGUACAAUGAGGGUCUUGGUUGAAAUUGAUACUUUUUCCUUGAACAUUCUACAGGAACCGAAAUGGCUCUUUGUGUUAUUGGCAGUUUUCAGGAGUACAAAGAAAUGGCAUCUUCAGUAAGAAUGGAAUUAAACCUUCCGUUUAAAUGUAGCCUGAUUCCUUAAGAGUUACCUGACACACCUUUAAGAUUUGUACUUUUUCUCGUUGGACCUCAAUUUAUUUGUUUAAUUUGAUCUGUCAAUUUUUUUGGAUGUUUGAGCCUGGAAAGAGGUCAGGGCACUUAUUCCCUAACUGGGAGGGGACACCUGCUUCACUUUCCUACUAGCUUGAAUUUGCAAAGGGCUUCUUACUACUCUGAAGCGUGGUUCAGCACAUGGAUCGUUAUUUUAGAACUUCAAAGUUGUUCCAAAGAUUUGGACUCUGGCAAUACAUCAUGAAAGAAAUUGAAGUGGAAGACCAACUGAUCAAUUCUUGCAGGGCAUAGAUUUUAUUGCACCACUGAUAGAAGCUG